GACGAACGCUGGCGGCGUGCUUAACACAUGCAAGUCGAACGGAAAGGCCCUGCUUUUGUGGGGUGCUCGAGUGGCGAACGGGUGAGUAACACGUGAGUAACCUGCCCUUGACUUUGGGAUAACUUCAGGAAACUGGGGCUAAUACCGGAUAGGAGCUCCUGCUGCAUGGUGGGGGUUGGAAAGUUUCGGCGGUUGGGGAUGGACUCGCGGCUUAUCAGCUUGUUGGUGGGGAAGUGGCUUACCAAGGCUUUGACGGGUAGCCGGCCUGAGAGGGUGACCGGCCACAUUGGGACUGAGGUACGGCCCAGACUCCUACGGGAGGCAGCAGUGGGGAAUAUUGCACAAUGGGCGGAAGCCGGAUGCAGCAACGCCGCGUGCGGGAUGACGGCCUUCGGGUUGUAAACCGCUUUCGCCUGUGACGAAGCGUGAGUGACGGUAAUGGGUAAAGAAGCACCGGCUAACUACGUG
rnacentral:rRNA from 1 species